AUUUCCAGUGUUUUUUCCUAAACAGAUUAUGAAGCGAUUGUGAAGCUAUCAGACGGCUUUAAUGGAGCAGACCUGAGAAAUGUUUGCACUGAAGCAGGUAUGUUUGCAAUUCGUGCUGAUCAUGAUUUUGUAGUUCAAGAAGACUUCAUGAAAGCAGUCAGAAAAGUGGCUGAUUCUAAGAAGCUAGAAUCUAAAUUGGACUACAAACCUGUGUAAUUUUAUUGUAAGGUUUUGGAUGGCUGCAUGACAGACAUUGACUUAAAGUAAAAAUAAAGUUAAGGAAAAUAAUGUAYGUAUUGGCAAUGAUCUCAUUAAAUGUGAAUGAAUAAAAUAUGUAUGAGUAACAUAAAAAUUAGUAUGUAAUUCAGUAAUUCAACUUUUAAAAUUGACACAGAAGAAAUUUGUAUGUUUGUUAAUGUUGCAUUUAUUGCAGCAAAAGUUACAAAAGAAGAGUGUUGAAGCUUUUCAUAUUUGCCAUGUGAGCAUUUUGUAAAACACUGAAAAAUAGUUUGAGAUAGUAGUACAAGAGAGCAUUUCUUAAGACUUAUUUUAUAUCAUUUGUUUUCCUCAUUCUAACAAAGUUUAAUAAAAUCUGUUUGAUUUAGUUCUACCUA